CCAGGGGUGGAGUCGUGGUCCGAUUGAGGGCUCUCUACUCUCGAAUUUGUUUUCCCGGGAAGGACGGGGCGGCUGGCCCAGGUGGCCCGCCCCACCGCCGGGUUCUGACAUUCCGGAGAUGCCCUUUCCGGGUGCGCCGACGCCUGCGGUUGCUGCUGCUGCAUUGCUUGCACAGCUUCGAUGAGGCCUCUGACCUACUGUGCCAGCAAGUCAAAUUGCUCCGUGCCGACCGCCACCGCCGGAGGAGGA
rnacentral:lncRNA from 1 species